rnacentral:rRNA from 1 species
AUACGGAGGGUGCGAGCGUUGUCCGGAAUCACUGGGCGUAAAGGGCGCGUAGGCGGUGCGGUAAGCGUGCGGUGAAAGCUCGGGGCUCAACCCCGCGUCGGCCGUGCGAACUGCUGGACUGGAGCAUGUCAGAGGCGGGUGGAAUUCCGGGUGUAGCGGUGGAAUGCGUAGAGAUCCGGAAGAACACCGGUGGCGAAGGCGGCCCGCUGGGACAUAGCUGACGCUGAGGCGCGACAGCGUGGGGAGCAAACA